CAGGCUUCGGAUCUUUUACUUGCUGAAAAAUAGUUGGUGGAAUUCUUUAUGAGAUUGAAAUUUCUAUUGUGUUGAAUGAAGCUGAACUCAUACUUUGGAGAUCUUGUCUUCAUUCCACAAGACAUUGAUCAUAAUUCCCUUUUCCUUGAAAUCUCUUUUGGACAUUAUUCUAUACUUGGUGGAAAAUCACUAAAGAAUUGUUCCUGAGAAUCAUAGGAAUAAUCUCAUGAGCCCUCAGCAAGACAGUUUUAAGGUGAAUAAUACCAAAUUCUCUGCUUCAACAACAACGUUUUAUCUUCUGUUGAAUCUUCAUCUCAGUGAUUUGCAAUGGUUGUCAUCAAAUAAUAUGAUGGAAAAAGGGAUGUGGCUGGAGAUGAGGCCAAAGAAGGAUGGAUCUUGACAGAUGGAACUAACUUCAAAGAGAGGAGAAAAUUGAUUUUGGUUUGUGCCAAGUGUACUUGGAAAUAGAAGGUUGUAGUCUUUAUCCCAUGAGUAUAUUAGUCUUCAUAUAUCACUAAGUCCCUUGGGUAAAAUGGCUACUACCACUGAGGUGCUUGUCACAUCAGAUUUAUCUAAUGCAUUUACUGUAGAGUUUUAUUAUCCUUGGUCAAUGUGGCGUAUGAAUCCAUCUUUUUUGUGUGUUUUUAAGGCCUUAUCUCAGUCAAAAAAAUCUGUAUUAAAGUCACAAAGUCUCUAGAGCAAACCUUGGAGAAAGGUGCGUGCAUAUUGUUCCAGGUUGAUUGUUAUUGGAAUGUAGAUACAGAACUUCGUAUUGUGAGCUUAAUGAAGAAAAUCACCCAUCAUUGCCCACAUUACUUGGCAAUUUAUUCUCUCCAUAAUGGAGAGAAGUAAAAUUCAAAGAACAGCAAAGAAUGUUUAAAGGGACUCACUGGAACUGAUGAAAUAGUAGGACUUAUACAUGAAAUCAUAAAGGUUAGAUCUGCCCGAAAUCUUAGAUGCCAUUUAGGUCUGUCUUUUUAUUUUACUGAGAAUCACAAAUUUGGAUAAAAUCUUCUUUACGCCAGAGUCAUAGCCAGCAUCCCUUUUGUAGGGGCUUUGUUAGUUUAGAGCUGGGCUGAGACUCAGAGAGGGUCAUGACUCCCUUUUUCCUAUUCUUUGUGUCACCCUCAUCUAUCUUGAAGCUUGAACUAUUAUUACUUAUUGAAAUAAUCUGUAAGGUGCCUUCCUGUCUAACCUACUUCCUGUCAUUUCUUGCUACACCCUCUCUACUUUCUGGUGGGUUUACUCUUCUCCUGGGACCAGAGAUGCCUCAGCCUGUGUUGGUUCUUACAUUUGUCAGAUUAAUGCCCAUUUCUUGAGAACUCAUGCCCUUCCCCUGCUCUCAGUCUACAGUCAGCUGCAUUUGAUGGCCUCUAUUCUGCCCAGUCAAAUCCCACUUAGGCCACAGAGAUUUCCCUUCCUGCUCAGUCCUGACAGAUUCAUGUUUCCUGAAUUUCUAAAUGAUUUGUAGUUUCUAACUGUGAUUCCCAAAGCCCAGCCAGUCUUCAAAAUCAACUGGAAAGGUUUUUUUAAAAAAAUUAUGUAAAAAUUUAUUUUAAAUAUAGAUUCUUGAGCCCUACUUCCAAAAUUCUAUUUUGAGUAGGUCUGGAGUGGAGCCCAGGAAUCUACUAAAGAAAACCCUCAACUCCGCCCCCUCCCCAAAUAACUUCUGUGUGAUUUUCAUGAGCAGGUAGAUUUGGGAACCAAUGAUCUGAAAUACUUACUAAUUUAAAGUUUGUCCUGUGUGAAGGUUUUUUUCAUGUGAGUUCAUUUUAAAUUCCAACCUGCAAGGUGAACCUCAACCUGCAAGGUUGAGGAUAGUGGAAAGGGAGGAGAGUGGUCAGAUCUGUUUGUAAAAGGAAGUGAAGUUUUUUUGCAAAAGAAGUGGUGGGAAGGAAGCAGGCUCCUUGAAACCAUAGCUUACUGUCUAUGAUAAGACAAAUCUGGUGAAAAUUAAAAUGAAGGGAGACUCCUAAAGAUAUUUCUUCCAUAAAGCAGCUAGUUAAUAAGCAUCACUUGAUACUGUGAAAGGGAAAAGUGCUUUAAAAUCUAGCACAGCUCAUAGUUUCAAUGUAUAUGUAUUCAGUCUGGGCCUCAGCAAACACUUCUGGGACCAUUUCAGUAUUGCCUUUACUUUGUUUCUUUACUAAAUUUCCUUGAUUCUCAAAUUUCUGUAUGUGUCAGAACAUCCUGGGGGCUUGGUUGAAACUCAGUCCUCAGAUUCAGUAGGUCUGAGGCGGGGUUUGAGAUUUGCAUUUCUAAUAGGUUCCCAGGUGAUGCUGUUGCUGCUGGUUCACUGCUGUAAACUUUUUGUUUUUCACUUGACUUCUAGGACUUUGUUCUCUUCUAGGUGUUCUCUGCUGAACACUCCUUCUUUCUUAAUUUGAAAUUGUGUCACAAUAUUGGGAGUGCUCAGUUCUCAGACUUCUUCUCUAUGUACACUCACUCCCUAGGUGUUUCUUCCGUUUUCAUGGAUUAUACACCAUCUAUAUAAGCUCAAAUAUAUGCCUGUAGUCCAUCUUCUCAUUUGAAUUCCAAAAUUCUGUGUUUACUUGUCUACAGGGUAUCUCCACUAGGGGUCAGAUGGGCAUCUCACAGUUCACUUGACCAAAACUUAGCUCCUGAUUCCACUCCCCAACCUUCUCUUCUUCCUGCCCUCUUCAUCUCAGGAACAGACACAAUUGUUCAACAGGCUACAAAUCUUGGAGUCAUCUUUAGUCAUGUCUUGUUCUCUAAUCUCAUGUCAUCCAAUCCUAUAAACUUUACCUUCAACAUAUAUCCUAAAUUUGAUCACUUCUCACUUUCUGCCCCAAGGUGUAGCCCAUACCUGAAGCAUUAACAAAGAAUCUUAUCUACUCAUCUCCCAUCUGGAUCACGGUGGUCGGCUGCUAGAUGAUUCUCUCUGUCUGUUCUAAACAUAACAGCCAGAAUUCUUUAAAAGUAUCAAGUUAGAUUAUCUCAGUCACCUGUUAAAAAUCUCCAGGGGUCCUUAAUCACACUUGGAGAAAAUUCCAAGUCUUUAUUGUUUGCCUCCAAGGGCAUGGGUGAAUUUGCCACUGGUCACCUCUCUGACCUUGGCUCUAGAUCAUACAAUGUGAAUUUGCUGAAUGAAUACAUUUAUAAAUGACAACAUGCAUUUAUGAUAGAUGGGUUUGGAAGUUUGUGUGAAUGACAGUAAGAAGACUUUAAAUAAUAAGAAAUGGCUUUACAGGUAAUAAAUGGCAAUGAAGAUUAAACUUGGAAACACAGUACAUAGUCUAUAUCGAUCAAGGACAUAAGCUAAAAGGCCUUUGGCAUCAACAGGCCAUGUGGAAGAAUAAAGUUGUUAGGUAAGACGUUAGGCAAUGGCACAGAUGCUGGUGGACUGGGCAGUGUCUCCUGGCCCAAAGGUAUUCAAAUCCAUUAACAAGAAACCAUGCAUGCUACGUUAGCCAAAGCCAAAACCAAAAACACUUCUAAAUGCAGAGCAGAAUUCUGCUCCAACUGUCAGUCUGAAACUGCUGACAGCAUACAAAUUCUAUGAUAAUGUAAUUGUAGUCCUUCUAAUUACUUUUAUAAAUGUAAACAUGUGGUAUAAGUCACAGAAACUGCACUGAACGGGAAAGGUGUUUAGCCUUUAGGGUUCUAGAAGAUUCUCAUUGACACAUCUGUGAUUCUGGACUAAUUAACUGUUGAGGGAUUCAAGUCAUUCAUGUAGAUAAAAAUGUCUCUCCUUCGGGUACAAAUAGAUUUAUGUUUUUAAUUCCCUGGUAUGCAGGUGCCUUUUAAAGUUAAAAGUAAUUAAUAUGAUAUUUUAAAGCACUUGGACUUAGAAAAAAGUCUCUUUUUGCAUGUAUUUUAUUUUUCCUCCUUUUUUCUGCCUAAAGAAACAUAGGCAUGAUUUUAGCCACAUCGCUCAUUUUAAUCCAUGUGCUGUCCAUAGGAAAUGCAUAAUGAAUGUAUUGAUGAAUUACCAUGCAAGCCGAGAAGCAGCAUGCUGGUUUGCUUGAGGAUUCAAUUAAAAUUGAACAAUGUUAUUUUGAAUAAUCAAAUGCUGUUAUGAAUAAGAAAUUCAAGUAAACAAUGCAAUUAGUAAAAAGUGAUGAUGAUGAAGCUGAGUUAGGUCUGCCUUUAUAUAUUUAUAUUAAGUAUAAUUCCUAUAUAUAUAUCAAAAUUUCAGAAUUGAAGAAAUAAUAGCUUGUGGGAAUGGAAAAUUUAUAUUGGAAUUAAUAAUAUAUUUCUAAAUAACAGCCAAGAUGUCUUUUUAGUUUGUAGUAACUAUAUAACUUUCC